UACGUAGGGUGCGAGCGUUAAUCGGAAUUACUGGGCGUAAAGCGUGCGCAGGCGGUCUGUUAAGACCGAUGUGAAAUCCCCCGGGCUUAACCUGGGAACUGCAUUGGUGACUGGCAGGCUUUGAGUGUGGCAGAGGGAGGUAGAAUUCCACGUGUAGCAGUGAAAUGCGUAGAGAUGUGGAGGAAUACCGAUGGCGAAGGCAGCCUCCUGGGCCAACACUGACGCUCAUGCACGAAGCGUGGGGAGCAAACAGGA
rnacentral:rRNA from 1 species